rnacentral:rRNA from 1 species
UACGUAGGGUGCGAGCGUUGUCCGGAAUUAUUGGGCGUAAAGAGCUCGUAGGCGGUUUGUUGCGUCUAUCGUGAAAACCUGCGGCUUAACUGUGGGCUUGCGGUGGAUACGGGCAGACUAGAGGUAUGCAGGGGGAGAACGGAAUUCCUGGUGUAGCGGUGAAAUGCGCAGAUAUCAGGAGGAACACCGGUGGCGAAGGCGGUUCUCUGGGCAUUACCUGACGCUGAGGAGCGAAAGUGUGGGGAGCGAACAGG